AACGAACGCUGGCGGCAUGCCUAACACAUGCAAGUCGAACGAGAUCCUUCGGGGUCUAGUGGCGCACGGGUGCGUAACGCGUGGGAAUCUGCCCAAAGGUACGGAAUAACUCUCCGAAAGGGGUGGCUAAUACCGUAUGAGGUCGCAAGACCAAAGAUUUAUUCGCCUUUGGUAUGAGCCCGCGUUGGAUUAGCUAGUUGGUGGGAAGGCCGUACCAAGGCGACGAUCCAUAGCUGGCUUGAGAGGAUGAUCAGCCACA
rnacentral:rRNA from 1 species